UUUCCUGGAUACAAGCUAUAGCUUUGUCUGAUGUGUAAAUUAUAUGCGUAAAUACGUGUGAUUAGCCUAGCGGUAGUAUUCAAUGUCGAGAUAUCAAUAUGAUUGAUUUAUGUAUAGUCUAUAAAUAACAACUUUGUGUGUAUCUAGUAAGAUGAAGGCCAAGAAACGCGUGUAUAAAGGGAGGAAGUUUUAUUCAGAAUAUUUUGAACGUACACACACGAGUGCGAUGCCAAAUUCAUCACUGAAGCAGUAUAUGACUAUGAAGCAAAGUGAAAUAUUUCAUCUUAAGUAUAACUGCCAAGUGAAGAGGGCAUAACGUAAAACAUUUAAAAACAGUGUGUUUUAAAAAAAAUAUUUCAAACGUAAGAAUAAAAUUAAAGACAUUUUCAAUAAAAAAAACAUUACUAAUUAAUACUAAUUGCUCUUCCAAAGUCCAAACUUUGAAAUUGUUUUUUUUAACCUAGUGCGAACUCGUUAUGUCAGUGCACUGGUGGGAUAAAGUUUUUCAUAAGCUUUAAAUCCAACUUCUCUGAUUCUGCUGAAUAGUUCAAAUUGAAAGAAAACACUUGCAAUAAAAUCAUUAAGUCAUACAUAAAAUUCAUUAUACAACUGUAAUUAAUUAACAAGCAAAAUUUCUUCAAAGAACAAAAGUCACAAUAAUUAAACAUUUCAUAUGUGUGUCAACAUUGUUUAAAACACAGUGAAGUUUCCAGAGCAACUUUGCUGUUUUUGAAAAUAUAAAAUAAAUCAACGAGACAUUGAUUGAUUCAUUUCCAUCACGUCUUUUGUGGUCAUUUCGCUCCAGAACAGUCUCGUCAUGAACAAAAAUCAUAAGGCGAAUAUGUUUUCAAUGGUAAUAUUGUGGACGUGUCUGAUUUUCGUCUGUCAAUUUGGGGCUCUGAGUUCAAGUACCGUUCUGUAUGACCAGUGCUUUGUAGGAUGCAAACAGGGCUGUGAAAACCCCGUUGAACUCAGCGAAAAACAAGCAAUUGUUUGUGGCAAAAUUGAUAAUACCUGUAUGGAGCGUUGUGAAAAAUUUGCUAAAUCUGCUGAAAAGCUCGAAGAUCAAUUGACGAGGAAAACAUAUCAAAUGAACUUGAGAGAAGAGAAUUACACUCUGAAGAUUCAAUUGAAAAUCAAUACGACGAGGAAAACGAGUCGAGUGAACCUCGCGUUCAGAGAGAAUUGGAUUUACUUAGUAAAUUGCUUAAAUUUUGAACAAAGAAAAAUAUAUCUUUGAUUCCAGAUUGUUCUAUUUAAAUAAAAAUAUAUUGCCAUGAGAGUAUAGACUAGACCACAGGAAAUGGUAGAUUAAAAUGAUUUUUUGAUGAGAAGGUAUUAUAUUGACUACGCAAAUUGUAGCUAGUGAGCAAUGAAUUGUGAAAUCAUACUCUGCACCUACGACAAAAAGUGAAAUAGCCACAUGAUCUCAUUCUGACGCAAGCCUUACUGUGAUAUAAACAUACAAUGGCAUUUUUAUUAAUUAAAUUCUUCGUACUAUCUCGAAA